AGUGAACGCUGGCGGUAGGCCUAACACAUGCAAGUCGAACGGCAGCACAGUAAGAGCCUGCUCUUACGGGUGGCGAGUGGCGGACGGGGGAGGAAUACAUCGGAAUCUACGGGUACGAGGGGGGGAACGUAGGGCAAAUAACGCUAAUACCGCAAACGAACAUCGGGUGAAAGCAGGGGAUGGUGGGACAAGGUGCGACUGAAUGAGAUGAUGUCGGAUGAGCUAGAUGGCGGGGUAAAGGCCAACCAAGUCGACGGUUCGUAGCUGGUCUGAGGGGAUGAUCAGCCACACUUGCACUGAGACACGGUCCCGACUCCUACGGGAGGCAGCAGUCGGGAAUCUUCGACAAUGAGCGCAAGCCUGAUCCAGCCAUACCGCGUGAGUGUAGAACACCUUCGGGUUGUAAAGCCCUUUUGUUGGGAAAGAAAAGCAUCCGGUUAGUACCCCGCUAUUCUGACGGUACCCAAAGAAUAAGCACCGGCUAACUUCGUG
rnacentral:rRNA from 1 species